AGUUAAAAAACAAAAAAAAAAGAAAAAACUUCAAAUACCCGCCAUGAGGUUUCGCACAUUUUCACUUUAGUAACUUAUAGUUUAAAGUGUAUCAAGUUAAUACCUUAUGGUUUCGCACUUUCUCACUUUAGUAUCCUGUGGUUUAAUAUUUCGUUAAAUUAUAUAUCCCGAAAUAGAUAAUAAAAAGAGAAAAUUGAAACAAUAUGGUACUAAUUUGAUAUAAAAAUAAAAUCAUAAUGUACUAACUUGAUACAUUUUAAACUACGGAAUACUAAAGUGAGAAAGUGCGAAACUAUAAGGUACCAUAAACUUUAAACUGUAGGGUACUAAAGUGAGAAAGUGCGAAAUCCGGAGGGUAUUUAAAUUUUCCCAAAAAAAACAAAAGAGAAAAA
rnacentral:lncRNA from 1 species